GACGAACGCUGGCGGCGCGCCUAACACAUGCAAGUCGAGCGAUGAAAUUUUAACCGAUCUCUUCGGAGAGAAGAUAAAAUGGAUUAGCGGCGGACGGGUGAGUAACACGUGAGAAACCUGCCUUUCACAAGGGGAUAGCCUCGGGAAACCGGGAUUAAUACCCUAUGACACAUUUCCUUCGCAUGGAAGAAAUGUUAAAACUCCGGUGGUGAAAGAUGGUCUCGCGCCUGAUUAGCUAGUUGGUGGGGUAACGGCCCACCAAGGCCAUGAUCAGUAACCGGCCUGAGAGGGUGAACGGUCACAUUGGAACUGAGACACGGUCCAAACUCCUACGGGAAGCAGCAGUGGGGAAUAUUGCACAAUGGAGGAAACUCUGAUGCAGCGACGCCGCGUGAGCGAUGAAGGCUUUCGAGUCGUAAAGCUCUGUCCUAUGGGAAGAUAAUGACGGUACCAUAGGAGGAAGCCCCGGCUAACUACGUG
rnacentral:rRNA from 1 species